GUCACCAGAGGCAGUGCACCCUUAGGCGUAGCACCUGCACCGCCCUGCCCUGGGGAGGCGACCCCGAGUACCCACGCGGGACACUGGGAAGAAGCAAGGCCACCUCUGCCAAGAAAGCCAGCUUCUCACUGAAGCUCUCCUGAUUGGGGAGUGUUCCUCAGAGAAUCAACCUCUGCCAGGAGAUGGAAGUGGCUUAUUUGGAAGAAAACAUCCUCACACGUGUGUGUCCCUGUAUAUCCGGGACCCCCAGCUAAGUGUUAGUUCCGUGCUCAGAGAACCUGUGAUUGGGAUUCUCUGGGGGGAAAUGUUCCAAACGAAUCAAUUAACACCACCAGCAGAGAGUUCAAUACCACUGUACUGAGACCCAGCUUUGUAUCAGUGCAUGAAUGAAUUACUAGUGCUCAUGUCAUUUGCAAAUAGUCAUCAUUAUAGCACAGUGGAAAAUACCCAUUUAGUCUGAGUAGCACCUUAGCAGCACAUUCCAAUAACCCUCAUGGACCCUCCAAAGUAUUUGCACAUAUAUGUGCAGAUUAAGCUUCAGAUAGUUUAAUAUGGGACUGUCUAUUUGGACACAAGGUCACCCCUUACACUCAUUAAACCAAUCUGAAUGAGGUCUGAUAACUCUUAAGGGAAAUCAGCACUUGAAAUGCUUUCGACUUUUUGGAGACACGGACGGAAUAUAUCAGCAGGUUUCACUCAGCAUGAGACAGCUCUGAAAACUCCAGAAAGGACAUGUCCCUGUGCUGUCCCACCCCACCCUCAGAGUCGUUCUUCACACAUCCAGGGUUUAUGGUGGGUGUGAAUUUAAUGUGAGGGGUGGAAGGGGGGGAGAGGAGUACUUUACAGAAAAAGCGUGUUUCUUCUAACCAAAUCUGAUCUGAGUCAAUUUUUCUGCUGAGUCCUCCUACCCAGUGGGAAUUUUUAAAAAAAAAUCCUAAACAGCACUUUUUUGUGUUCUAAAUGACAUGAAUAAAAUGAUCCAGGGCUGAAAAGAUAACUCAGUGUGUAGUUGUGCUUGCUUUUCAUGAAACCAAGGGGGAACUUAGUUCAAUUUCUGCAAACACAGAAAGAAAAAAAUCCUAGGCUUGGCCAUGCGUCUGAAACCCUACCCUUUUGCAGGCAUCUAUCUGUUAUAGGCAGUUAUAGUUAUAGUUAUAGUUAUAGUUAUAGUUAUAGUUAUAGUUAUAGUUAUAGGCAGAUAUCUGGGACUUGAUGGCCAGCCGUCCUGAGCUAAGUGAGAUACUGUGUCCCAAAGUGUAUGACAGAGGGUAGUGGAGGAAGAACUCCUGAAAUCUUUGACGUGUACACUCACCGGCACAUGUUCCUGUCCACAAACACCCAGACACCCAGACACACACACACACACACACACACACACACACACACACACACACACAUACACACACACACACUGGAAAAUAGGUUGAAGGAGCUGUGGGGACAACUCAGAUGAAACAAAACAGCUGGUUUUUAUACUUAAUUUGAUUUGCUAAAGCCUUAAUAAUCUUCAUGUAAGAAGUAACACUUGUACCUCUCCCUGGUUUUGAAGAAUAACCUUAAGUUUAUAACAAAUGAAUAAAAUAAUGUUUGCCUGUAGAAUUGUGUCAGGAUGGCUUUAUAUUCCAUUGUUAAGAUACAGCAAGGAGAACUUGGAACACUAGGAAUAGCCUUCUCAGCUCACUCCUAUUUCACUGACGUGGGUGACUCUUGAGCUGCAGUCUAAGGACGUGGGAAUAAUAAUGGCUUCAUAGUGAGAUAAUGGUAAUUAGCACACAAAAAUUCAGUUAAUUACCAUGAAGGUUAUGACACAGACUAACAGACAGAGUCAAAGUAAACUCCAAGCUUUCCACCCCCAGUCAAGACUCUAAAAGGGCCUGUGAAGCUCCCGUUGAAUUUAGACAUAAAGCACAAUUGAAAUCAGUCACCUGUUCGCCCUCCAUCCUUAUUUGUAGACCUAAUUUCUUGGUAUGAAAUUCAAAAGCAGUGGGUCUAAGAGGAGUGUAUAUUUUGAUAAAGUGCGUAUAGUUGAUUUUCAUUGUUCCCUGUGAUUAUAUCCCAUAAAGUUGCUGUACAUAAUAAAGUGUUCCCAGUAAAAAUAGA